rnacentral:misc_RNA from 1 species
GAUGAAGAACGUAGCGAAAUGCGAUAAGUAAUGUGAAUUGCAGAAUUCAGUGAAUCAUCGAAUCUUUGAACGCACCUUGCGCUCCUUGGUAUUCCGAGGAGCAUGCCUGUUUGAGUGUCAUUAAUAUAUCAACCUUCUCUUUUUUGAGUUGUUUGGAUGUGGGGGUUUGCUGGCCUCUUAAAUGAUUCAGCUCCCCUGAAAUGCAUUAGCAGAACAACCUGUUCAUUAGCGUGAUAAUUAUCUAUGCUAUUGAAUGUGAGGGCAGUUCAGCUUUCUAACCGUCCUUGGACAAUUCAUCAUUAAUGUGACCUCAAAUCAGGUAGGACUACCCGCUGAACUUAAGCAUAUGAAUAAGCGGAGGA